rnacentral:rRNA from 1 species
CCUACGGGUGGCAGCAGUCGAGAAUCAUUCACAAUGGGGGAAACCCUGAUGGUGCGACGCCGCGUGGGGGAAUGAAGGUCUUCGGAUUGUAAACCCCUGUCAUGUGGGAGCAAAUUAAAAAGAUCGUACCACAAUAGGAAGAGCCGGCUAACUCUGUGCCAGCAGCCGCGGUAAUACAGAGGUCUCAAGCGUUGUUCGGAAUCACUGGGCGUAAAGCGUGCGUAGGCUGUUUCGUAAGUCGUGUGUGAAAGGCGCGGGCUCAACCCGCGGACGGCACAUGAUACUGCGAGACGAGAGUAAGGGAGGGGGAACCGGAAUUCUCGGUGUAGCAGUGAAAUGCGUAGAUAUCGAGAGGAACACUCGUGGCGAAGGCGGGUUCCUGGACAUUAACUGACGCUGAGGCACGAAGGCCAGGGGAGCGAAAGGGAUUAGAUACCCGGGUAGUC